rnacentral:rRNA from 1 species
CACGUAGGGGGCAAGCGUUGUCCGGAUUUAUUGGGCGUAAAGAGCUCGUAGGCGGUUCGGUAAGUCGGGUGUGAAACCUCCAGGCUCAACCUGGAGACGCCACCUGAUACUGCUGUGACUCGAAUCCGGUAGGGGAGCGUGGAAUUCCUGGUGUAGCGGUGAAAUGCGCAGAUAUCAGGAGGAACACCUAUAGCGAAGGCAGCUUGCUGGGACGUUACUGACGCUGAGGCACGAAAGCGUGGGGAGCAAACAGG